rnacentral:rRNA from 1 species
GAUGAACGCUGGCGGCGUGCCUAACACAUGCAAGUCGAACGGAGAUUACGGACGGAAGUUUUCGGAUGGAAGACUGUAAUUCUUAGUGGCGGACGGGUGAGUAACGCGUGGGCAACCUGCCCUAUACAGGGGGAUAGCAGCUGGAAACGGAUGGUAAGACCGCAUAAGUCGGCGAGACCGCAUGGUUUUGCCGGGAAAUGAGCAAUCAGGUAUAGGAUGGGCCCGCGUCCGAUUAGCCAGUUGGCAGGGUAAAAGCCUACCAAAGCAACGAUCGGUAGCCGGACUGAGAGGUCGGACGGCCACAGUGGGACUGAGACACGGCCCAAACUCCUACGGGAGGCAGCAGUGGGGGAUAUUGCACAAUGGAGGAAACUCUGAUGCAGCGACGCCGCGUGAGUGAAGAAGUAUUUCGGUAUGUAAAGCUCUAUCAGCAGGGAAGAUGAUGACGGUACCUGACUAAGAAGCCCCGGCUAACUACGUG